CGUCAUAAGGGGUGUUGCCCCCCCUGAUAUAUUUUUUUAAUUUUUGGAAAAACCGUUUUUUACUAUUUUUAUGAGAUGUAGAAGCAAAAGAUACAUACAAUCCUAAAUUUUCAAUUUUUUAUCUCAGACCGUUAUUUUUUAAUAGCCAUUUAAAUAUUUUACAUCUAUAUAUAUAAAAGAAAGUCGAGGUUGUGUUAGUUACACCAUUUAUAGCUCGAGAACGACUGAACAGAUUUUUAUGAAAUUUUACAUGUAUAUUCUAGCGGUCUGGGAAUAGGAUAAUAUGGAGUUUCAUACCCGUACGUCAUAAGGGGUGUUGCCCCCCCUGAUAUAUUUUUUUAAUUUUUGGAAAAACCGUUUUUUACUAUUUUUAUGAGAUGUAGAAGCAAAAGAUACAUACAAUCCUAAAUUUUCAAUUUUUUAUCUCAGACCGUUAUUUUUUAAUAGCCAUUUAAAUAUUUUACAUCUAUAUAUAUAAAAGAAAGUCGAGGUUGUGUUAGUUACACCAUUUAUAGCUCGAGAACGACUGAACAGAUUUUUAUGAAAUUUUACAUGUAUAUUCUAGCGGUCUGGGAAUAGGAUAAUAUGGAGUUUCAUACCCGUACGUCAUAAGGGGUGUUGCCCCCCCUGAUAUAUUUUUUUAAUUUUUGGAAAAACCGUUUUUUACUAUUUUUAUGAGAUGUAGAAGCAAAAGAUACAUACAAUCCUAAAUUUUCAAUUUUUUAUCUCAGACCGUUAUUUUUUAAUAGCCAUUUAAAUAUUUUACAUCUAUAUAUAUAAAAGAAAGUCGAGGUUGUGUUAGUUACACCAUUUAUAGCUCGAGAACGACUGAACAGAUUUUUAUGAAAUUUUACAUGUAUAUUCUAGCGGUCUGGGAAUAGGAUAAUAUGGAGUUUCAUACCCGUACGUCAUAAGGGGUGUUGCCCCCCCUGAUAUAUUUUUUUAAUUUUUGGAAAAACCGUUUUUUACUAUUUUUAUGAGAUGUAGAAGCAAAAGAUACAUACAAUCCUAAAUUUUCAAUUUUUUAUCUCAGACCGUUAUUUUUUAAUAGCCAUUUAAAUAUUUUACAUCUAUAUAUAUAAAAGAAAGUCGAGGUUGUGUUAGUUACACCAUUUAUAGCUCGAGAACGACUGAACAGAUUUUUAUGAAAUUUUACAUGUAUAUUCUAGCGGUCUGGGAAUAGGAUAAUAUGGAGUUUCAUACCCGUACGUCAUAAGGGGUGUUGCCCCCCCUGAUAUAUUUUUUUAAUUUUUGGAAAAACCGUUUUUUACUAUUUUUAUGAGAUGUAGAAGCAAAAGAUACAUACAAUCCUAAAUUUUCAAUUUUUUAUCUCAGACCGUUAUUUUUUAAUAGCCAUUUAAAUAUUUUACAUCUAUAUAAAAAUUCGCCGGUCGCAGUGUUUGUUACCAUACUCCUCCGAAACGACUUAACCGAUUUUUAUGAAAUUUUGCAGGUAUAUUGGACUGUACUGGGAGUAGGUUGCUGUCUAUAUUUCAUACCCGUAUGUCAUUAGGGGGUUGCCCAUGACGCCGUAACUCUCACAAUAAUGACGUGAAAAAUAUGAAAUUAAGUAGGUAGACUCCUUGCUGAAUUCCGAGCAGAACCGUACUAAAAUUUUUUGUCUAGCACAAUCGGUGUCCGAAAUACAAUAUCUCAAGCCGUAGGAAUAUUCUGAGGACAGAAGAAGAACGAGCGACAAAUUUCAUAGAAGAGAAGUGGCACAGUUUACCUUUGGGACUCAAAUUGGGCAAAAUAUGAAUUUUUUAAUUUUGCGAAAUUUUCAAAAAAUAUCUCUAAACGGAACCGUAAGCAGGAGAAAAAUUCUGAGCACACGAAAAGAA
rnacentral:lncRNA from 1 species